GGCACACAUGUACCAAGGUUGCGGCGAAUUUGCCUUGCAAGCAAGUUGUGAUGGGUUCGAUUCCCAUUGUGUCCA
rnacentral:tRNA from 1 species